UUGUUUUCUCAACAGUGUCCAGAAUAUAAAUUGUAGCUCUGAAGAGCUGGCUACAGCAAACCUUGACAGGGUUUGCUCAGACAAACCUGGAGUGAAUUGGAAGAUGCUUAUAAAGGAAGAACACUGAAAUCUUUCUGCUGAAAAAUACAGCUUUCACCAGGACAUGAAAGUAAUGUAUAUGCCACAAAAAUGUGUUGCUAACGUGUCUUCCAGGUCCCAAGGAAUCCCUCUGCAGAAAAGCUGGCAUGGAAAGUUUUAGCAGCUAUUUAUGAUGCUGGAGAAGAAGGAUUCUUUUUUCCAAGAAUCAUUGCUAGAUGCUGAUGGAAGCAAACAAAAUCAAGCAGGCCACUUGGAAAUCAAAGCACAUUUUAAAAUGAAGGAUUUGUUUUUAUCCUUACCAGGAGCAAAAGCUGGAAUGAACCUGGGCCCGCUGUUACCAUUUCUGUAAUUUCAGAUACUGGGUGACCUGGAGGUAUAUUGCGCUUAUUUUGCAAGUCAAAAAUUGAAGCACAGAAAAAGGAAGUUCUAGAGUUUCCACACAUUUUGUAAGUCUAAAUGUAAACAUUUGAGAAUGAGGAUAAACAGAGAACUGAGAAAGCUUCAGAGUCCUGAGUCUCUGUACUCUUCCAAAUAAUAGAGUGAACAAGUUUGAACCUUAUGGAGAUGAUGAGGCUCUGGAAAGAGACGGAAGGAGAACUGCGUCUUCGUUGUUUGUGAGGGUCUGCACAGGCAAAAACAUCUAGAAUUAAUUAAAUUUCCAGCUGUUUUAGAAGACUGAGUGCAAUUCAUACAUUUGCUGGGAAGGAGAGCUGCCAAAAGUUGAUGUUCUGCUUACAAGUCCAGCACAAAACCAAAAAUAACUGAGGGUUUUCUGAUUUAGCUAGCCUGCUCCCAGUAUGCAGCAAUGAACACAACAGUUUGUAAAGGACAAGAAGGACCCAAAAUUUCUGGUUGGAUCGGCAUCUGCACCCUCUAUAGGAGCAUUGGGGCGUGGAAGGGUAUGUUGCCCAGCUCUUUAGGAACACAUACUCCUGUACAUCAGAGACCUCAUCCCAGAGUGAGUUCCCAAGGGUGGAUGCAUUUCUGCUGCUGGGAGCUGCCCAGGGCAGAGGGACUCCAUUCUUUCUUGCCCAAACAAGAAAGCUGAAGCAGUGAGUCAAGAGGCUGUUAUCAGUAGGGAUGGGAGAAUGGCUGGAACUUCUCCAAAACCCUGCAGGAACCAAAGCACUUCAAUCAGCCACUUUGAUGAGAGGAAGGCAGAGGGUUUCUGGGAUAUAGAGACUCCCAUGGUGGUUGAGACUGGAUGCUUUACCAAGAAGGGAUACCAGGAAGACAGCUUCUGCCCCAGCUGCAGACCUGCUAUCCUUGAGGAGAGUCAGUGCUUUGAUAAUGAGAGUGGGACUGAGCUAUGUCCCCAAGCCAGGGAUACCUGAGCCCCUCCCAAUACAGGUAAUUGAGAAGAAAAUAGGGGGAGACCUUCUGAUAAACCUGAUAUGUACAAACAAGGAAGAAUUAGUCAGAAGUGUGAAGGUAUGGGAGCAGCCUUGACUAGUGACCAUGAGAUGCUGAAAUGCAGGAUCUUGAGAUGCAAGGCAAAGAGCAGCAUCUCAACCCUGGACUUCAGGAGAUCAGACUGUGGUCAGGGAUCUUCUUUAAAGAAACCCGUGGGAUACAGUCCCUCAGAGAAGGGUACAGGAAUCAGUUCUCAAGGAUUACCUCCUUCAUGCUCAAGACCUUCUAGGGCUUACAUCCUUCUGCAUGUGUAAGCAAACAAGUAAAGGUUCCAGAAAGUCUGCAUGGGUUAACAGAUAUCUCCCCACUGAUCUGAAAUAUAAAAUGGAAGUGGAAGCAGCGACAGGUCCCACUGGGGGAUUAUAGAUAGAGACACUCUUUGAGUGUGCAUGGACGUGCUUAGGAAAAGCUGGAAUCCACUUGAAGUUGAA